UUUAUCGGAGAGUUUGAUCCUGGCUCAGGACGAACGCUGGCGGCGUGCCUAAUACAUGCAAGUCGAGCGGACAGAUGGGAGCUUGCUCCCUGAUGUUAGCGGCGGACGGGUGAGUAACACGUGGGUAACCUGCCUGUAAGACUGGGAUAACUCCGGGAAACCGGGGCUAAUACCGGAUGCUUGAUUGAACCGCAUGGUUCAAUUAUAAAAGGUGGCUUUUAGCUACCACUUACAGAUGGACCCGCGGCGCAUUAGCUAGUUGGUGAGGUAACGGCUCACCAAGGCAACGAUGCGUAGCCGACCUGAGAGGGUGAUCGGCCACACUGGGACUGAGACACGGCCCAGACUCCUACGGGAGGCAGC
rnacentral:rRNA from 1 species